CUCGAGACGAAAAUCUUUAGGUUCACCUCCAACGCGCACUACCCCUUCUCGAACGCUCACCAACGUCUACCGAGAUCUUCCUGUUCGUGGUAUCCGCGUAAUCAUCAGUCGCAUCACCGUACCCGCUUCUUCUUCCCUUUCUAUUCGCAAGGAUUACGUUCGCAAGGAUGUCAUCGAGACGCGCGUCCCCUUCCUUCGAGUGUUCUAACAAUUUUCUUUCGUAAGCUCGAAAGGUGGACAAAAAAAUAGAAAAGCACGUCCAGCCCCUGGUACUAGGGGAAUAAUAAAAUAGGGUAUCUGGGUUUCGGCGUCCACCCCGUCGAAGCGGCAGCGGCAGCAGCAGCCGCGUACGUGUAACGCGUUACGCGUACGGAAUCUAUAUUCCGCUCUCCGGAGGAGUAAGAGUAAAAGACUGGAAGACGUAGGAUGGCCGAGAGGAACGGAACGGAACGGAAUGGAACGGAACGGAAGGAAAUGGAACGGCACGGAACGGAAAGCGCCACGAGCUCGUGUGCGUCGCGAAAGAGGAAGCGACUUGGCUCGUUCUCCUCCUCCUCCUCCACCUCCUCCUCCCUUUUGUACGGAGCGUGCGCGAGUACGAGCUGCGAAAGGGGUGACAAAGGGGUGAGAAAAGGCAUCGUAGACGGGAGGAGACGACGAGCCUUUUCAUCGGUCCUUUUCAUCGGUCCUCUUCACGGGACAACGACGAAAGAACCGACCAGAGCGCGAGAGAGACAACUUUGACAGAGAUUUAUAUUGCUUCAAAGCAUUUAUACGAUGCUCAUCGAACUUUUACGUGUAAAGAAAAUGCAAGAAGAGGACGAAACAAAGAUAAG